rnacentral:lncRNA from 1 species
GGGUGCUUCUGCUCCGACUGCUUUUCCCACGGGCGUCAUCUAUAGUCCGGAGGACAGCCCCAGGGCAGAGGCCUCUGAUUCUCUCUGUGUCAUCCAGGCUGGAGUACAGUGGUGCAGUCGUGACUCACUGCAGCCUUGACCUCCCAGACUCAAGCAAUCCUGGCAUGUCAGCCUCCAGGUAGCUGGGAAUACAGGUGCAUGCCACCACACCCAGCUAAUUUUUGUAUUUUUUGUAGAGAUGGUGUUUCAUGUUGCCCAGGCUGGUCUGGAACUCCUGAGCUCAAGCAGUCCACCCACCUUGGCCUCCCAAAGUGCUAGGAUUACAGGCAUAAGCCACUGUGCCCAGCCCAACAUUUAUUUUAAAAACAAAAAUCAUAAAAGUCCUAUUAAUAAAUUUUAAUGAUGAGUUUAUUAAAAUCAAGUUUCCAAUAGAUAAAUGGACAAAAUAUUUGAAAAGAAAAAUUCGCAAAAAAGAAAAUACAGUUGGUCAAUAAACAUAUUAAAAAAUUAUCCUCAAUAGUAAAGUAGUAAUGCUAGUUUCAAACAUCAAAGGAGUUUUGAAAUAACUCUAGACAUGAAUGUUACCAGCCUUGUUUUGGCCAUCUGAAGGAUAAUCACAAAUUCUGUCUGAAGGGCUGAGGACUAGUGCCUGCAAAAGGACCAGAAUAUCCCAGCAUGGGCACAAGUAGCUUGAAAUUAUGGAAGUAUGUCCUGUCUUUCUUUCUUUUCUUUCUUUCUUUCUUACUCUCUCUCACUUUCUCUCUUUCUUUCUUUUUUUUUUUUUUGAGACAGGAUCUUGCUCUAUCUCCCAGGCUGGAGUGCAGUGGCUCCAUCAUAGCUGACUGCAGCCUUCACCUUCUGAGCUCAAACAAUCCUCCCACCUCAGCUUCCUGAGUAGCUGGGACCAUAGGCACACACAUGCACCACCACACCUGGCUAAUUUCUAAAAUUUUUUUUGUAAAGUCAGGGUCUCACUAUGUUGCCCAGGCUGGUCUUGAACUCCUGGGCUCAAGUGAUCCUCCCGCCUCAGCCUCCCAAAGUCCUGGGAUUACAGGCGUGAGCUACCACGCACAGCCCAACUUGCUCUUUUGGUUCUGUGGCUGCUGCAGUUAUGGGGAUGUACCCGCUGAUCCACAACAGUUUGGGAGUGCUCUUCCAUAAGCUCCCCUCCCUCAUGCCGGGCAAUGUGCUUGUCAUCGUGGUCUCCAUUAUCACGGUGGUUGCCUUCCUGGGCUGCAUAGGUUCUGUCAAGAAAAACAGGUGCCUGCUUAUGUCCUUGUUCAUUCUGCUGCCGGUUAUCCUCCUUGCUGAGGUGAUCUUGGCCAUCCUGCACUUUGUUUACGAACGGAAGCUGAAUGUAUAGGUAGCUGAGGGCCUGACGGACAGCAUCUACCAUUACCACUGGGACAACAGCACCAAGGCGAUGUGGGACUCCAUCCAGUCAUUUCUGCACUGCUGUGGCGUAAAUGGCAUGAGUGAUUGGUCCAGCGGAUAGCAAGCAUCUUGCCCCUCAGAUCCAAAAGUGAAAGGUUGCUAUGCAAAAGCGAGACUGUAGUUUCACGCCAAUUUCCUGUAUAUCAGAAUCAUCACCAUCUGUGUAUAUGUGCAAUCCAGGUGGUGAGGAUGUCCUUUGCACUGACCCCAAACAGCCAGAUUGAUAAAACCAGUCAGGCCCUGGGGGUGUGACCUGCAACUGCCCUGUGCUGGGGAGACUCGUUUCAUCUUUGGAAAUCCAAAACCAUUUAUAGCACGAAGUUCUAAAUGGUCACCUGCUGGACUGCCUGUCCUCCUCCCAACCCUUUGCUUUUUGGGUCGCUGUCUUAUACAGCCAGAAAAUAAGGUGUUGGCUAGGGACUUUCCAUCUCAGGCAGCAAGACAACCUUUCACCUACUGAUGGCAGCAGCCACGUCUCUCAAGGUGGUAACAGUAAUACUUGGACAUUUUUUUAGACAUGAAAGGCCAAGAGAAACUGUGGAACUAAUGGCUCAAGAUCAAAGAGUGGGCCCAGGAUAUGAAGUUUUUAACCUUCCCAUUGUCAAAUUAGUCUCUGGCCUCUGUGUCAUGCCCAGUCUGCUCUCCAAAGUCAAGCAAGAGACAAGCUGAAGAGGGUCCUAGGUCCAGGCUCAUGGGACCAUUGUCACAACCCUGUUUCUCUUUGACGAAGAGUGGUGGCUAUAGGAAUUACAGAGUGCUCUUUCUCCAAAGGGCAAGGUUUCAUUUCCAUUUCUUUAUUAAGGGCCUCAUCAAUUUAUUCUGUCUUUCCACAAAAAAUUAUCCAGUGAUUUAUAUCCUGACUUCAACCAGUUACUUAGUUGAUAAUCACAUGCACAAGACUUCCGGUGUUAUUUCUCUAUCAGCUAAGGUUUUGUUAAUUUACUAUUUUGCUCUUCGAUAAAUAAAAGUGAUCUUAAUUUUUUAAAAAAUCAAAGAAGUUUCCAUUUCUCAUCUAUCAAAAUAGUAAAUAUUUUAAAAAUGUAAUUCUUAAUGUUUAUGAAUAAAUGAAUAAAGUAUUAAUUUAUUAAUUUAUUGAAUGUCCACUAUGUGGCAGGCAUGCACCAUUAUUCAGAUUUAAAAAUAAAAACUCAUAACAACACAGAAAAUUAUAAUAAGUGAAAAACAAGCAGGACACAAAAAUGUAUGCACAAUGAUUAUAUUUUUAAACCCAGAACAUCGGCAUAGGGGCAAAAAACAAAUAACAACCAAAAUGUUGGUUGAGUGCUGUGGCUUACACCUGUAAUCCUGCACGAGGCAGGAGGAUUGCUUGAGGCCAGGAGUUCAAGACCAGACUGAGCAACUUAGCAAGACUCCAUUUCUACAAAAAAUAAAAAAGUUGGCUAUGGCAGUGCCUGCAAGUACUAGCUACUCAGGAGGCUGAGGAAGGAGGAUCACUUGGGCCUAGGAGUUCGAGGUUACAGUAAGGUAUGAUGGCACCACUGCACUCUAGCCUAGGAGACAGAGCAAGACCCUGUCUCUAAAAAAUAAAAAAACAGGCCAGGCGCAGUGGCUCAUACCCGUAAUCCCAGCACUUUGGGAGGCCAAGGCCGGUGGAUCACGAGGUCAGGAGUUCAAGACCAGCCUGGCCAAGAUGGUGAAACCCCGUC